UGAUUGUUUCAGUAAGGUCUCAAUAAGUUUGAUUAAAACCUGCUACAGUUGAACUUUUUGAGCAGUUUGGUCAGGAGCUGAGUUGGAGAAUACUCUGUACUUCUCCUGGAAAGCUGUCAUUCCAGUAUAUAAAGAAGUGGAUCAUCUCUCUUGGGGAUAAAAAAAAAAGAAAAAGAAAGAGUUAUUUACCCUCUGCUCAAGUCUGCCCCCUGAAUUUCCUGUGACUGACGAACACAUUUCCUUCUAUCUUCUGCCUCUGACUGGAAGAAACAGCCUCAAAAGAUCAAGAAACAGAUGGACUGUUCUUGGUGUUUCUCUCACAAAUGAAGGUCUAGUUGCCAGUGGCUUUAGUUUCAUUGGAAGAGGCAGCUGCUAUGAUACAGCAAAGUGGGAAGAUUAAACGAUUUGGGGCCAGUGAGUUCACCCAGGAGAGAAGGGGUGGAGAAGACAGUGUCUAGGCACAGUGAGUCACUUGUGUUGCGAGAGCAAGUGCCUGGACAAGGUGUUGGACUGGGGCUUCAGUUGUUCAAAAUGACAUCAGGAAGAAUUGUCUACAUAAUUUAAAUCAGAAGAUAC